CUGGCUCAGGAUGAACGCUAGCUACAGGCUUAACACAUGCAAGUCGAGGGGCAUCAGGGACUGUGCUUGCACAGUUUGCUGGCGACCGGCGCACGGGUGAGUAACGCGUAUCCAACUUCCCCUUAGUAGGGCAUAGCCCGUAGAAAUGCGGAUUAAUACCCUAUGUUUUCCAAUGAGGACAUCUGAGCUGGAACAAAGAUUCAUCGCUAAGGGAUGGGGAUGCGUCUGAUUAGCUUGCCGGCGGGGUAACGGCCCACCGGGGCAACGAUCAGUAGGGGUUCUGAGAGGAAGGUCCCCCACAUUGGAACUGAGACACGGUCCAAACUCCUACGGGAGGCAGCAGUGAGGAAUAUUGGUCAAUGGUCGAGAGACUGAACCAGCCAAGUAGCCGUGCAGGAUGACGGCCCUAUGGGUUGUAAACUGCUUUUAUGCGGGGAUAAAGUGAGGGACGUGUCCCUUUUUGUAGGUACCGCAUGAAUAAGGACCGGCUAAUUCCGUGCCAGCCGCCGC
rnacentral:rRNA from 1 species